UACGUAGGGGGCAAGCGUUGUCCGGAAUUAUUGGGCGUAAAGAGCUCGUAGGCGGUUGGGUAAGUCGGGUGUGAAAACUCCAGGCUCAACUUGGAGACGCCACCCGAUACUGCUCUGACUUGAGUUCGGUAGGGGAGUGGGGAAUUCCUGGUGUAGCGGUGAAAUGCGCAGAUAUCAGGAGGAACACCGGUGGCGAAGGCGCCACUCUGGGCCGAAACUGACGCUGAGGAGCGAAAGCGUGGGUAGCAAACAGG
rnacentral:rRNA from 1 species